rnacentral:rRNA from 1 species
UCAGUGAAAUCGAGUAGGGCGGGACACGUGAUAUCCUGUCUGAAUAUGGGGGGACCAUCCUCCAAGGCUAAAUACUACUGACUGACCGAUAGUGAACCAGUACCGUGAGGGAAAGGCGAAAAGAACCCCUGUGAGGGGAGUGAAAUAGAACCUGAAACCGUGUACGUACAAGCAGUAGGAGCAGGCUUUGUCCUGUGACUGCGUACCUUUUGUAUAAUGGGUCAGCGACUUAUAUUCAGUGGCAAGGUUAACCAUCUAGGGGAGCCGUAGGGAAACCGAGUCUUAACUGGGCGUUCAGUCUCUGGAUAUAGACCCGAAACCAGGUGAUCUAGCCAUGGGCAGGUUGAAGGUUGAGUAACAUCAACUGGAGGACCGAACCGACUAAUGUUGAAAAAUUAGCGGAUGACUUGUGGCUAGGGGUGAAAGGCCAAUCAAACCUGGAGAUAGCUGGUUCUCCCCGAAAGCUAUUUAGGUAGCGCCUCGGACGAAUACUACUGGGGGUAGAGCACUGUUAAGGCUAGGGGGUCAUCCCGACUUACCAACCCUUUGCAAACUCCGAAUACCAGUAAGUACUAUCCGGGAGACACACGGCGGGUGCUAACGUCCGUCGUGGAGAGGGAAACAACCCAGACCGC